UGUCCUUUAGAAUUUAAUUUAAGGUCUAGCCUGCCCACUGAUAUAAUUAAAUGGCCGCAGUAUUUUAACUGUGCAAAGGUAGCAUAAUCAUUAGUCUUUUAAUUGAAGGCUUGUAUGAAUGGUUGGACGAAAUAUUAACUGUUUCAUAAAAAUUUAUUUAGAAUUUUAUUUUUUAGUUAAAAAGCUAAAAUUUUUUUAAAAGACGAGAAGACCCUAUAGAUCUUUAUAAUUUAUUUAUUAUAGUUAUAUAGAUUAUUUAAAUUAUGAUUUUAUAAAUUAUUUUGUUGGGGUGACAUUAAAAUUUAAUAAACUUUUAAUAAAUUUUUACAUUAAUUUAUGAAUUAUUGAUCCAUUAUUAGUGAUUAUAAAAUUAAGUUACCUUAGGGAUAACAGCGUAAUUUUUUUGAAGAGUUCAUAUCGAUAAAAAAGAUUGCGACCUCGAUGUUGGAUUAAGAUAUAAUUUUGGGUGCAGCAAUUCAAUAAUUAAGUCUGUUCGACUUUUAAUUUCUUACAUGA
rnacentral:rRNA from 1 species